CGCGUAGGCGGCUUCUCAAGUCCGGGGUGAAAUCUUUCGGCCUAACCGGAAAAGGGCCUUGGAUACUGGGGAGCUCGAGGGGGGUAGGGGCAAGCGGAACUUCCGGUGGAGCGGUGAAAUGCGUUGAUAUCGGAAGGAACGCCGGCGGCGAAAGCGGCUUGCUGGACCCCUCCUGACGCUGAGGCGCGAAAGCCAGGGGAGCGAACG
rnacentral:rRNA from 1 species